AUGCCUAUGAUUCUAUCAACAAAUAAAUGGAUUCAAAAAUAUCCAUCUGGAAUUAAUUUACUGGAUAAUUACGAUCACAUUGGCAAAUAACAUGUUUAGUGGAUACGAGGCAUGUGUCUAGGUCUUAUUCUUUCAUCCUAUUUGGUGCGAAAUAUAAAAGUUUUUGUAUCUUUGAUUCUUUAUGUACCAUCCAAAUUAAUUCCAAGUAUGAUCUUACUUGCAACAUAUUGAUUAUAACUCCUCCAAUAUCUUUCUCAAGGAAAUGAACGCCCGUUGAAAUUAUAUUAUUUAGAAGAAUUGGAUCUGAGGGAAAAGUCUAAGCUACUGGUGUAAAUUUUUCUUGUUCCCCUUUUGACUUUCUACUCUGUCAAAACCUACCUGCAC
rnacentral:lncRNA from 1 species